rnacentral:rRNA from 1 species
UAACACGGGGGUUGCGAGCGUUGUCCGGAAUUACUAGGCGUAAAGGGCAGGUAGGCGGAUCUACGAGUUUUUUGUUAAAGGCUACGGCUCAACUGUAGUAGAGCAGGAGAUACUGUAGGUCUGGAAUGCGGUAGGGGAAGACAGAAUUCCUGGUGUAGCGGUGGAAUGCGCAGAGAUCAGGAGGAAUACCGAAGGCGAAGGCAGUCUUCUAGGCCGUAAUUGACGCUUAACUGCGAAGGUGUGGGGAUCAAACAGGAUUAGAUACCCUGGUAGUCCACACAGUAAACGAUAAUCACUAGAUGUCGGGUUCUAGAUGGAUUCGGUGUCGGAGCUAACGCGAUAAGUGAUUCGCCUGGGGAGUACGAUCGCAAGGUUGAAACUCAAAGGAAUUGACGGGGGCCCGCACAAGCGGUGGAGCAUGUGGUUUAAUUCGAGGCAACGCGAAGAACCUUACCCGGUUUUGACAUCCACGGGAGGCUUCAGAGAUGGAGCUGUGCCGGCGUAAGCUGGAGCCGUGAGACAGGUGCUGCAUGGCUGUCGUCAGCUCGUGUCGUGAGAUGUUGGGUUAAGUCCCGCAACGAGCGCAACCCUUGCCUUCAGUUACCAUCAUUAAGUUGGGGACUCUGGAGGGACCGCUGCGGUAACAACGCAGAGGAAGAUGGGGACGACGUCAAGUCAUCAUGGUCCUUAUGGCCGGGGCUACACACGUGCUACAAUGGCAGUUACAGAGGGAUGCGAUUCAGUAAUGAGGAGCGAAACUCAGAAAAGCUACCGCAGUUCGGAUUGAGGUCUGCAACUCGGCCUCAUGAAGUCGGAAUCGCUAGUAAUCGCGCAACAUCAUGGCGCGGUGAAUACGUUCCCGGGCCUUGUACACACCGCCCGUCAAGUCAGCCGAGUGGAGUGCACCCGAAGGAGGUGAGCUAACCCGCAAGGGAGGCAGCUUUCGAAGGUGUGCUUCGCGAGGAGGACU